rnacentral:misc_RNA from 1 species
CAUGGACAGCCGAUUUAAUGAAAAGAAGAGAAUUUUGACUGUGAUAUAAUUCCUGAAUUACAAACUCGAUAACCAUCUUUUGCCAGCUAAAGUGUCCAAAGUAAAGAAUAUUGGUAAGACCAUCAAAAUACAAAGUCACACAACAAAGACAACAAUUGCAUAGAGCUAGGAACAAAAAUAUCCAGAACAGGAAUCAUGACUUGCAAAAUGCACGGAGCGUAUCAUCGAGGGCCUUCCUAUCAUAAUCACCAGUGAAUACACAAGUACCAAGAGGACCUUUCAGCAGGAUAAGCCUUAGCAGCCCAUCAGCUACCUUCUUAUCAACCGCCAUGACAGACUUGAACAUUUCCACAGUCAUAGUUUCUGGUGGGGCGGUGGGUAACUUAGCCUGUUGUAGAAUGUUGUGUACUCGUUUCACGAUAGAAUCAUCAAUCCAACCAAGGCGAUAUGACAUGUCAACAGCCAUGACCUUAACAUCAUCACAAAAACAAGAUCAACACGUGGAGAAUGGUAUACAGUAAAAGAGUGACAAAAAGAUACUUGUAGCAAAUGUGAUACCGUGCCAGCUGCAACAGCUUCUCCAUGAAGCCACUGCCCAUAUCCAAAACCAGUUUCUAUAGCCUGUAAACACAUGCCACACAAGAAAAAAAAAAAAAUCAUUUAGUCAUUUGGAGAUUAUGAAUGAAUUGCUUAGGUAACACAAGAUUCCCAUGCAACGGCAAGCUCACAAACAAAAUUUAAAGCGCAAGUAAAAGGAGGCAAAUAAAAAAGAGAAGUAGGAGAAGAGUAAAGAAAGGAGUUCAAGCACUUGUGAGCUUAUAAGAAAGUGAGUGAAUGAGUGAGAGAGAGACAAGACAGAGGUAGAGAGUUAUUGAAUUUAUUAGCCAGGUUUGAUUCCUAGCAUUGGCUGCAAAAUUUCACAUAUGUGAUCAGUAAGUCAUUGUCAAGAGCAUAUUUGGUUGAUGACUAAGUAAUAGUUGUGCAUAAGGGGGGAAAUAAAAAUGCUAAACAUGAACGUACAUUUCUUAUGUCGAUCAAAGCAAGUAUCUAUCCACUUGUGCUAAACGGCCAUCAAACACUGACAAACUACUGUGUAAUGCUGUACUCUCUAUAUUCCUUACUGUUCAGAUAAUAGCAAAGAUGCAUAAAAUCUAAGCCAUUUGAUACAUCAAUAUAAUAUGCAAUAUUAUCCAGGAAAAUGGUUCUUCACCCUUCUACCUUUCUCUCUCUCCACAGACAUGCAAUGCCACACACACAUGACAAAAUCAACUCCACAAGUACACAACUUACAUGGCCAAAUGUGUGACCUAAGUUCAAUGUUGCCCUCAAUCCACCUUCCUUUUCAUCCAAUGAUACAACUUCAGCCUUAUUUUCACAUGAACGCUUUAUGGCAUAUGCCAUUGCACUUGGAUCCCUUGCCAUCAAUUUUGGCAUAUUCUUUUCCUGCCACUCAAAAAAACUGGCAUCUCGUAUAAGCCCAUACUUUAUGACCUCUGCAAGGCCUGAUGCCAAUUCCCUAUCCGGCAGAGUGUUUAGCGUGUCUGUGUCUAUGAGUACACACUGAGGUUGAUAAAAUGCUCCAAUCAGGUUCUUCCCAAGUGUGUGAUUUAUCCCAGUUUUUCCUCCAACGGAAGAGUCCACCUGUGCCAUAACAGUUGUAGGAAUCUGAAUGAAAUUAACACCUCGAAGAAAAGCAGCAGCUGCGAAUCCACACAUGUCACCAAUAACACCUCCUCCAAGUGCAACAAAUGUACACCGUCUAUCCAAUCUUAAUUCAAUGGCCUUGUCAAAGACUUUCAUAAGAGUUUCCAUAUUCUUGUACUUCUCACCAUCAGGCAAUAUGACACUCUCCACGGAAACGUUUGGAUUCCCUCUUGUUAAUGCAUCAACCACUUUAUCCAAGUAUAAUGGUCCUACUGUGUUGUUAGUCACCACAAGCACUCUCUUCCCAUGGACAUGCCUUUGGAGCAGUUCAGGUUGAUCGAGAAGUCCAGAUCCAAUGUAGAUCGGGUAGCUCCGGUUGCCCAAAUCGACUUCAACAAUAGUAGGGGCUCUAGAACUUGCUUCACCAACAGAUUGAUGCAUAAGCUGAGCAGAACUGGCAGAUACCCUCGGCGACGUAAUUCCGCUCAAUCUCAGCACCGGAAGACCCACCCGUUUGGAACGCAAAGAUAUGGCGUUAGGGUUUUUGAAGCGUAGAUAGAAAUCGUGCAAAGUUUUAGGCUUGGAUAUGGAAGAAUUGGCAGCGGAGAGAGAAGGCGAUAGUGCGUUUGCGGUGGAAGCCAUGAGGCUGGCUUCCGAUUGCAACAGGGGUUUUGUGGUGAUAAAGGAAAAGAGGUUUUUGAAAAUUGUGGUGUAUGUAUUCUGUAACCAGUGGUCUGGUAAGCAUUUUGAGAUUGAGACUGCUUUUUGCUGGAGAAGCAAGGAAGACAGGAGAGGGAGUUGUGGGGGUAGGUGAAGCUGCU